UUAAAUAAAAUGAAAAGUCUGAAACUUAAAAAGCUCUCCCUUUCCCUCUAUUCUCUAUCUUCCCCGAAUCUCUCUCUCACUACUGUGUUGCCUCAGCCAGGCCCGAAUGAUUCGCCGGAGCCGUACACGCGCCAGCCCAGUCGAACCGCUGGCCCUCGAAACGUCGACCCCUGCGAGCUCACCACAGUAUGCGCCGCCCAGGGCUAUCAACCAACGGUGAGAAUCCAUCCACCUCCUGUACUUUCCUGGUUUUGGAGCGGGAGAAGGAGAUGGAGUUUUGAUGGUCAUGGACCGAACGAUCAUGUAUGUUGUGCUAAGUUAAAAUUAACUGGGUUUGCUCGGCAAGGCAUAAUCUUUGGCCAAAGUUACGUUGUGGAUGAAUACCCAGUACUCUUUGGCUGGCAAACUUAGCCGGGGCUCCAAGGCUAAAACUCUACUUGGAUAUUUAAGAGAACCAAGAGAACCAAGGCAACAAGAAAUUCUUCUUCAAGUUGUUGGACAUUAUUUUCUUUCUUGCUUGUAAGAAUUAUGUACACUGAGGAUUUGAUGUAUUAUUUACAUUGAGAAUAAUGAAUUUUUAUUGAGAAUUAUUUAGUCU